AACCCAUGAUGCGGGCAAGCUCUCAAAAGAUCCUUGUAUCUCUCCCACGCUUCAAAGAGUGAUUCUCCGUCUUUCUGCCUAAAGCAUGUAAUUAGGUUCCUCAAUU
rnacentral:snoRNA from 1 species